rnacentral:rRNA from 1 species
AUUGAACGCUGGCGGCAGGCCUAACACAUGCAAGUCGAGCGGAUGAAGGGAGCUUGCUCCUGGAUUCAGCGGCGGACGGGUGAGUAAUGCCUAGGAAUCUGCCUGGUAGUGGGGGAUAACGUCCGGAAACGGGCGCUAAUACCGCCUACUUCCUGAGGGAGCAAGUGGGGGAUCUUCGGACCUCACGCUCUCAGCUGAGCCUAGGUCGGAUUAGCUAGUUGGUGGGGUAAAGGCCUACCAAGGCGACGAUCCGUAACUGGUCUGAGAGGAUGAUCAGUCACACUGGAACUGAGACACGGUCCAGACUCCUACGGGAGGCAGCAGUGGGGAAUAUUGGACAAUGGGCGAAAGCAUGAUCCAGCCAUGCCGCGUGUGUGAAGAAGGUCUUCGGAUUGUAAAGCACUUUAAGUUGGGAGGAAGGGCAGUAAGUUAAUACCUUGCUGUUUUGACGUUACCAACAGAAUAAGCACCGGCUAACUUCGUG